rnacentral:lncRNA from 1 species
GUGGGCCACUGUCUAAGUUUGUUGAGAUCGUUACCAGAGGAGAUCCAAAGGCUCCAGUGAAGAACCUCCAUGCUAGCUACAAUAAGCUAACAUCUGAACUCUACAUCUUCUGGUUUGCAAACUGUGACGUGCUCAGAGAGCCUGUGCCAUACAGGUUGGAAAUAAAAGAUGAAGCGCUAGACAAAACAAGCUACUACGAACUGAAGCCGAAGAGUCAAAUCAAUGUGCAUCAUGUCAUUGAAAACGUGCCCGUUGGAGGGAAAUACAACAUUUGCGUUUCAGUAAGUAAUAUUACAGUAUUAGUGUAUUAUU